UACGUAGGGUCCGAGCGUUAAUCGGAAUUACUGGGCGUAAAGCGUGCGCAGGCGGUUUUGUAAGCCAGAUGUGAAAGCCCCGGGCUCAACCUGGGAACUGCAUUUGGGACUGCAAGGCUGGAGUACGGCAGAGGGAGGUGGAAUUCCACGUGUAGCAGUGAAAUGCGUAGAGAUGUGGAGGAACACCGAUGGCGAAGGCAGCCUCCUGGGCUAGUACU
rnacentral:rRNA from 1 species